rnacentral:rRNA from 1 species
AGUGAACGCUGGCGGUAGGCCUAACACAUGCAAGUCGAACGGCAGCACAGUAAGAGCUUGCUCUUACGGGUGGCGAGUGGCGGACGGGUGAGGAAUACAUCGGAAUCUACUUUUUCGUGGGGGAUAACGUAGGGAAACUUACGCUAAUACCGCAUACGACCUACGGGUGAAAGCAGGGGAUCUUCGGACCUUGCGCGAUUGAAUGAGCCGAUGUCGGAUUAGCUAGUUGGCGGGGUAAAGGCCCACCAAGGCGACGAUCCGUAGCUGGUCUGAGAGGAUGAUCAGCCACACUGGAACUGAGACACGCUCCAGACUCCUGCGGGAGGCAGCAGUGGGGAAUAUUGGACAAGGGGCGCAAGCCUGAUCAAGCCAUACCGCGUGGGUGAAGAAGGCCUUCGGGUUGUAAAGCCCUUUUGUUGGGAAAGAAAAGCAGCAGGUUAAUACCCCGCUGUUCUGACGGUAGCCAAAGAAUAAGCACCGGCUAACUUCGUG